GAUGAAGAACGCAGCGAAAUGCGAUACGUAAUGUGAAUUGCAGAAUUCAGUGAAUCAUCGAGUCUUUGAACGCACAUUGCGCCCCCUGGUAUUCCGGGGGGCAUGCCUGUCCGAGCGUCAUUGCUGCCCUCAAGCACGGCUUGUGUGUUGGGCCUCCGUCCUCCUCCCGGGGGACGGGCCCGAAAGGCAGCGGCGGCACCGCGUCCGGUCCUCGAGCGUAUGGGGCUUCGUCACCCGCUCUUGUAGGCCCGGCCGGCGCUUGCCGACACAUCAAUCUUUUUUCCAGGUUGACCUCGGAUCAGGUAGGGAUACCCGCUGAACUUAAGCAUAUCAAUAAGCAGAGGA
rnacentral:misc_RNA from 1 species